GCAACGAGGUCCCUCUCUUUCCGCCUCCACUUCCUCGCGAGCCUCUCUCUUCUCCUGCUCCUCACAGCGGUGGCGGCGGCGAUGCAGAUGGCGGCCGCGACAACCGAUGCUCCGGUGGCAGCUGCGCCGCACCCACAUCCCCAUGCCCAUGGCCCACAAGUACCGCACGGUCACGGGCACCCGCACCCUCACCACCACAUGCCGCAGCCGCGGUGGGUGGUACUUCCUUACCCGCCGCCGCCGCCUAUGGUGGCCGCGCCGCCCCCUCCUACACCGCAGUAUGUGAAGCAUUUCGCGCCGCAGGCAUCGGUGACGCCGCCUCCGCCAUCGGCUGGAUCCGGCGGGAACGGAGGUGACGAGAACCGGACGAUCUGGGUCGGCGACCUCCAGUACUGGAUGGACGAGAACUAUCUCCACAGCUGCUUCGGCCCCAGCGGCGAGGUGGUGACGAUUAAAGUUAUCCGCAAUAGACAUUCCGGAGUUUCUGAGGGUUAUGGUUUUGUAGAGUUCUGUUCCCAUGCAUCAGCAGAGAAAGCACUUCAGAAUUUUGCUGGUCAUGUAAUGCCUACUACUGACCGAGCUUUUAAGUUAAAUUGGGCAUCAUAUAGUGUUGGAGAAAAACGCUCUGAACUUGCUUCUGAUCACUCAAUUUUUGUUGGUGAUCUAGCUGUUGAUGUUACUGAUGACAUGUUGAUGGAACUUUUUGCUAACAAAUAUCGUUCUGUGAAAGGAGCUAAAGUUAUUAUUGAUGCAAACACCGGCCGUUCUAGGGGCUAUGGAUUUGUUAGGUUUGGAGAUGAUAUUGAUAGAACUCAUGCUAUGACUGAAAUGAAUGGUGUGUAUUGCUCCACUCGGCCAAUUCGCAUUGGACCUGCAACUCCUAGAAGAACUUCAGGUGAUUCUGGCACCUCUCCACCAACACAAUCAGAUGGUGACUCGACUAACAGGACAGUAUAUGUUGGUGGGCUUGACCCCAACAUUAGUGAAGAUGAACUAAGGAAAGCAUUUGUGAAAUAUGGUGAUGUUGCUUCUGUCAAAAUUCCUGUUGGGAAACAAUGUGGUUUUGUUCAAUUUGUCAACAGAGCUGAUGCGGAAGAAGCAUUACAAGGGUUGAGUGGAUCAACAAUCGGGAAGCAGGCAGUUCGUCUUUCUUGGGGCCGCAGUCCAGCAAGCAAACAGAGAGGAACUGGGGAAACUUGGGGAGGAAUAUGAAGCAAGAGGUCUCGAGUUGGAAGAUUCAAUAUAAUUCAUUGAUACCCCUACACACACAUGGCAGCAGCUAUAGAUGCUACAGGGCCUCGCACAUGCUACAGUAAUGGGCUGGAGGCAACUGGGCUGUAAUACCACCCAUGUAGAUAUAGCAGCCGUAGCAGUUUCCCUUCCUUAAAAGAGAUCUUGACCUCAAGCCGAAGGUAACUCCGAUAGCACGCUUGCCCACUCUGAGUAGGAAGACCACUCCAUGCAAUCUUGUACUGCUUGCGGGUAUGGCCUCCAACUUUGACAAGCCGAGUUUGGAGAACUUGGGCAGGUUUGGAUGAACUCACCAAAGAUUGAUCAUACUGUAGAGAUUUAGAAGCCGCCUCGAUGUCUUCAGGUGGUUUUGCAGGUUUGGGGAAGGAGACAUGGACAAAAGGAUGAUAUUUGCUGGAUUUUGAGCUGUCUAGGGGUGAUUCUGGGCAUCGGCGGAAUGGCAUGUACUACGGCACGCCUUUCUACGGUGGAUAUGGCUACGGGUCGCCAGUUCCUCACCCAAACGUGUAUGCUGCGGCUUAUGGAGCCUACCCUUUCUACGGUAACCAGCAACUAGUGAGCUGAUGAUAGAGGUCGUCUCUGUUUCCUCCCAACUCCAGUAGAAAACAAGGUUUUGGUCCAGUAAGCACAGUAUCGUACGAUGACAUAUUAUAGAUGGCCAUAAAAGCGGGCGAGAGAGACAGGUAUAUGAAUGUGAUGUCUGCAGAUUCGUGUUGCUAGUAGAACCUAAAGCAAGGCUUGUAGACAAUAAAGAGUUGAGUUAUUCGUAUUGUUGUAAGAAAUUUUGACUUGCUAAUAAAACCAUUGGCUGGAAUUAAUUUUUCUCAA